AAAAAAUAGGCAGGACAGGAGUUUUUAGUAAAAAAAAAAGGCAGGAUGUGACACUUGCAAAAAAAAAAAAAAAAAGUCAGAGACGACAAUUUAGGUAAAAAAAGUCAGGAUAAACUAAAAAAAAAAGAAGGGCAGGACCGAUUAGAGUGAAAAAUAAAAAGGCAGGACAGAGAUUACAGCUAAAAAAAAUGCAGGACAAAAUUUUUCAUCCUAGCCCCCCCA
rnacentral:lncRNA from 1 species